AGGGCGUACGGCGAAUGCCUUGCCACUCGAAACUGAAGAAGGACGCGCCAAACUGCGAAAAGCUCCGUGAAGCUGUAAGGAAGCGAAGAAGCGGAGGUGUCCGAAUGGGGGAACCCGGCAGCAGACAUGAGCUGUCAUCUGCAGGUGAAUACAUGGCCUGUAAGAGAGGUACCCGGCGAACUGAAACAUCUAAGUAGCCGGAGGAAAAGAAAACAACAGUGAUUCCCUGAGUAGCGGCGAGCGAAAGGGGAGAAGCCCAAACCGGUCCGAGGGCCGGGGUUGAAGGACCAUGAUAUGGCAAGAACGAGGAUAGGAGAACGGGAUCGAAAGCCCGGCCGAAGAAGGUGAAAGCCCUGUAACCGAAAUCCUAGGGAAGCCUAAUGGGAUCCUGAGUACGGCGAGACACGAGAAAUCUUGUCGGAAGCAGGCGGGACCAUCCGCCAAGGCUAAAUAUAAACGAGUGAGCGAUAGUGAACCAGUACCGUGAGGGAAAGGUGAAAAGAACCGCGGGAGCGGAGUGAAAGAGAACCUGAAACCGUAUGCCUACAAGAAGUCAGAGCCCGUUAAGGGGUGAUGGCGUGCCUUUUGUAGAAUGAACCGGCGAGUUGCGACAGACUGCGAGGUUAAGGAGGAAAGACCGGAGCCGAAGCGAAAGCGAGUCUUAAGAGGGCGAAAGUAGGAUGUUGCAGACCCGAAACCGGGUGAUCUAGCCAUGAGCAGGUUGAAGUUGAGGUGAAACUCAAUGGAGGACCGAACCGACUACCGUUGAAAAGUUAGCGGAUGACUUGUGGCUAGGGGAGAAAUUCCAAUCGAACCCGGAGAUAGCUGGUUCUCCCCGAAAUAGCUUUAGGGCUAGCGUCGGAAAGAACCUUAGUGAAGGUAGAGCACUGAAUGUGUGAUGGCCCCAUCCCGGGGUACUGAAUACAAUCAAACUGCGAAUGUCAUUAAGGAUGUCCGGCAGUCAGACUGUGAGUGAUAAGGUCCAUGGUCAAGAGGGAAACAGCCCAGACCGCCAGUUAAGGUCCCAAAAUACAGGCUAAGUGGAAAAGGAUGUGGGGAUGCCCAGACAACUAGGAGGUUGGCUCAGAAGCAGCCAUCCUUUAAAGAGUGCGUAACAGCUCACUAGUCGAGUGACCCUGCGCCGAAAAUGUACCGGGGCUAAGCCUGAUACCGAAACUGCGGAUUGUAGGAAACUAUAGUGGUAGGGGAGCGUUGUAUACGAGCAGAAGCCGUACCGUGAGGAGCGGUGGAUUGUAUAGAAGUGAGAAUGCCGGUGUGAGUAGCGAGAUGUAGGUGAGAAUCCUACACACCGAAAGCCCAAGGAUUCCAGGGGAAGGUUCGUCCGCCCUGGGUAAGUCGGGACCUAACGCGAGGCCGAAAGGCGUAGUGGAUGGAAAGCAGGCGAAAGAUUCCUGCACCCGUAUAUGGAGCGAAGGAGUGACGGAGACGGAUAGUGUGACCCUCUUAAUGGAUUGAGGGCGAAGCGAAGCGGCUGGUUACCAGGCAAAUCCGGUAACUGAAAGGCUAGAGCGUGACAGGUAAGCGAAAUCUUAGGAAAGUAGCGAAGCACAUGAUGACGGCUUCCAGGAAAAGCUUCUGGCAAUGCAUAUGCGGCCCGUACCAAAACCGACACAGGUGGGCAGGGAGAGAAUCCCGAGGUGAGCGAGAGAACUGUUGCCAAGGAACUCGGCAAAAUGACUCCGUAAGUUAGCGAGAAGGAGUGCUUAAGCAAUUAAGCCGCAGUGAAGAGGCCCAAGCGACUGUUUAACUAAAACACAGCUCUCUGCGAAGUCGCAAGACGAAGUAUAGGGGGUGACACCUGCCCGGUGCUGGAAGGUUAAGAGGAUCUGUUAAGAGCGAUCUGAAGCAGUGAUCCGAAGCCCCAGUGAACGGCGGCCGUAACUAUAACGGUCCUAAGGUAGCGAAAUUCCUUGUCAGGUAAGUUCUGACCCGCACGAAUGGCGUAAUGAUUUGGGCACUGUCUCAACAGCCCGCCCGGCGAAAUUGUAGUACUGGUGAAGAUGCCAGUUACCCGCAACUAGACGGAAAGACCCCAUGGAGCUUUACUGCAGCUUAAUACUGAAAUUCGGUAGUACAUGUACAGGAUAGGUGGGAGACUGAGAAAUACAGGCGUCAGCUUGUAUGGAGUCGCUGUUGGGAUACCACUCUUGUACUGCUGGGUUUCUAACCUGCGGCCGUGAAUCCGGUCGGGGGACACUGUUAGGCGGGCAGUUUGACUGGGGCGGUCGCCUCCCAAAAGGUAACGGAGGCGCUCAAAGGUUCGUUCAGCACGGACGGAAAUCGUGCAAUGAGUGUAAACGCAUAAACGAGCCUAACUGCGACACCGACGGGUGGAGCAGUAACGAAAGUUGGAGUUAGUGAUCCGGUGGUAUGUGAGUGGAAAUGCCAUCGCUCAACGGAUAAAAGUUACCCUGGGGAUAACAGGCUGAUCUCCCCCAAGAGUCCACAUCGACGGGGAGGUUUGGCACCUCGAUGUCGGCUCAUCGCAUCCUGGGGCUGA
rnacentral:rRNA from 1 species